CUCCAAGGGAGGCAGGAGACCUGGAGAGCUAUGGUCAGAGGAGGGAGGGUCCUGAUUUGGGUGCUCUCAGUGCCCUCUGGUGGUGGAGGACAAAUGUUCCAGGGGCAGGGAAGGAGAGCGUGUGAAGACUUUGGGGAAGGCGGAGGAGGAGCCAGCGGCGCAGGCCUCCGAGUGCCCGGGGCAGCAGUUUAAGUCGUGGAUCUCCUUGUGCCCUCCAGACAUCUUCACCGGCCUUCGGGAGUAGGCACUGCUCAGGAGUGUGAAGGGGGGCGCUGUGCUCAUCUGUGGAUCGAUCAGUGGAUGCGGUCAGAGCCCGGUGUAGUGUCAGGAGGCCCUUCCACCGCACCCUUCCUGCCUUCGAGCCAACUGAUCAUGGACUGGAACCUGUAGAAAUCUGAUCCUCCAGACCUUCAGGCUCCGUCCGCCGCUGGAUCCCUGCGCACACGGGUGACCAUUUCGGCAUCCUCCUCCUCGCAUGGCCGCUGGGACUCUUCCGGUUUGAUCCCGACAGCCUGCCUCACAAAUCCCGUCUCUAAGCACGCACGUUUUCUGUCGAAUCUGUUCCUCUGGAGAACCCCUAACUCAUACAGAUGUUCGUGUAUGUGUGCGUAUUUGCUCAGGUGGGUCUAAGUAUAUUCUGUCAUGUGUGCCCACUUGCAUGUAAACAUGUAUUUUAAUAUGUCUUUCACGUGCAUGUUUCAUAUGAACACACGUGUGUCCCCAGUGUCCCUCUGUGUGUACCCACGUGGGUUAUUCUGCGGGCAUCAACGUGAGGCGCCCACAUGCUGAGCUGGGCACCAGGGCUCUCUGGACCCCCACUCCUCAGAGCAGCUUGACCAACCUGGCCUCCGCUCUCUGCUCCUGGCUUAGACUCUGAGCCUCUCCGCUCCCCUCAUCACCCCAAGCCAAAUGCACCUUCAGGGAAGCAAGUUGCAGAGCAGAAGUCCCUCCCUGACCCUUCCCACCCUCCUGCAGCCCCUAGCCAGGGAUUCAGAGCUGGAGAACAGGAAUGGUCUUUUUAGAGAGGGCCCCGGCUCCCAGGUGUGCAGGAGCUGGGACCACAAUAACCCGACAGACUCCACCGGCCAGAAUGAGCUCCAAGAAGUCACCAGCAAGGUUCAGACAGAGGCCCAGCAAUAGCACGACAGUCCUCCCUUAUCUGCCACUUCACUUCCUGUGGUUGGAGUCGCCUGUGGUCAGCCAAGGUCUGAGAAUGUCUGAUAGGUAAUUCCAGAAAUAAAUAACGUACAAGUUUUAACGUUCACUUAGAAAUUUUACUCCUGUAUAUUAUUAUCAUUCUUCUAUUCUAUUGUCAGUUAUUACUGUGAAUCACUUCAUGUGCAGAAUUUGUGCACUGUAUUUAUUAUUGCGGUUUAGGCUGAGAAUGUUCCCCCAGGCCCUUGUGUUUUUGGAUGGCGAAUGGAUCAAGAGGCUGCUUUGCUGAAUUGCUGAGUGCACUGUUGGAAGGUGGGGCCUGGUUACAGGCAGUCCCUGGGGUUGUGACCCGGAAGUGUUUAUCUCCCUCCUGGGCUCCUGCCUCUAGCUCUACUUCCUGGCCGCCAUGAUGUGAGCAGCUUUCCUCUGCUAUGCCUCUCUGCCAGGCUGUUUCUGCCCUGGAGCCAGCCAACCAUGGACUGUAACCAUGAGCCAAAACAAUCUCUCUCCUCCUUUAAGUUGUGGGUGGCAGGUGUUGUAUCUCUCAGCAAUGAGAAAGUGACUGAGACAUGUAUGUACAGUGUGAUAGGAAAAAUGUGGUAUAUAUGGGGGUUGGUACUAUCCACCGGGUGUCUUGGAAUGUGGCCCCUGUGAAUCAGGGGGACCCUGCAGCAAAAAUGGACACAAUCCAUUCACAGCAGGGUCUCCUUUGAUGGCAACCCGGCAGGUCAUGAGACAGGAAUCCCUAGCACCACCAGAGGGGUGGUGUCACUGCGGUCCCAUUUCAGAGUUUGGGAGAAUCAGGGAGGUAAGGUUUGAACCCAGUCUGAGUAGCUCUAAACCAGUGGUUUGCAACAGGGCAUGGUUUCCCUCUAGGGGACAUUUACCAAAGUGGGGAAAUUUUGUUUUCUGCUUGUCACACCUGCGGGGGCAGGGAUGCCCCUGGCAUCUAGAGGGUGAGACCAGGGAGGCUGCUCGAUUUCCUAAAGGGUCACAUCAGCUCUGCCUGACAGAGGUGUCCUUCUGUAAUGGACACGAGUGCUGAGGGUGAGAACAGCUUCUAGAGGGGCAUCAGACAAAACCCAGAAGAAAUAGCUGAGUUUAGGCAUUCAAAAGUUUCAGGUGCAAAAGACUGGACAGAUGCUUCAUGAAAAGGGACAGAUGGAUAGAUGUUGAGCAACAGCCCAUCCUCGGGAAAAUGGAAUGGAGAACCAUCACGUGAUACCCUCCACACACCCACCAGAAUGGCUGAAGCCAGGCA
rnacentral:lncRNA from 1 species